AUAAGGGAUGGGAGAUUGAACAAGAGGGAUAGGAUUGAUUAUAAGGGAUGGGAGACUGGACAAGAGGGAUAGGGUUGAUUAUAAGGGAUGGGAGACUGGACAAGAGGGAUAGGGUCGAUUAUAAGGGAUGGGAGACUGAACAAGAGGGAUAGGGUUGAUUAUAAGGGAUGGGAGACUGGACAAGAGGGAUAGGGUCGAUUAUAAGGGAUGGGAGACUGGACAAGAGGGAGAGGGUUGAUUAUAAGG